UGCCAGCCGCCGCGGUAAUACGGAGGGUGCAAGCGUUAAUCGGAAUUACUGGGCGUAAAGCGCGCGUAGGCGGUUAUUUAAGUCGGAUGUGAAAGCCCCGGGCUCAACCUGGGAAUUGCAUUCGAUACUGGGUGACUUGAGUACGAGAGAGGGAGGUAGAAUUCCACGUGUAGCGGUGAAAUGCGUAGAUAUCGGAAGGAACACCAGUGGCGAAGGCGACUUCCUGGGCCAAUACUGACGCUGAGGUGCGAAAGCGUGGGGAGCAAACAGGAUUAGAUA
rnacentral:rRNA from 1 species